GCCUGAGCCUUGCGGCAACGGCUGAAUGAUCUAAAUUAUAGAGUGUGUCAUCCCCUAAGCACUCUGCAGUAUCACCGGACCCAAUAUUUCCCCUAAAUCUGGACAGAUCUGCACAUCACUCCCUAAAUUCAGAGACUAUAAGUUCAAUGCAAGAACACCUCACAACAAUGAUGUGUACAGAGUAAAAAAAAAAAGUGAUCAUCCCUCCCUGCUUCCAGCUUGCGGUCCAAAGAAUGCGUGAGUCUGUGAGGAGCGCGAAUAUUUUGUAUAUGCGAAUAUGCAAAUAUUUGCGAAUAUCGGCACAUCCAGAGGACACUGAUCCCUCCCUCCUUUUAGAAUAGGCAAUAUACUGAUGUAGCAAAUUAUUUGGCACAACUCAUUUGAGGAUCCAAUGCUUUGCCUAUGGCGUUCCAUGGGACCUUCAUAUGUUUUCUAGGCACAUAAGGAAAGCAAGAUAAGCCCUUUUAUUAUGUUAACACAGCGACUUAUGAUGGUGGACGCGAGAAGACGUAAAAUACAAACUGAGUUUCUAUAUAGAAGUAAAAUGUGAAACUGAGACAAUGCUGAGCUCCGCAUGUGUGUGCUAACAUACGACUAGUGCUUAGAUGAAUGCGUACUGCCAUCCUACACAUUAGCACAGUGACGCUUCUCAGAUGUAGCAGAGCUGAGCUGACUGUGGCAAAACGCGUUGUACUAGAACAAGGUGAUUUUGCAUAGGACUGCAUGAAAAGCAACUGCAAGUAUCCUUAUUAUUACAGAACCUUGGCUGAUAUAGUUAUUCCUUG